rnacentral:rRNA from 1 species
UACGGGGGGGGCAAGCGUUGUUCGGAAUUACUGGGCGUAAAGGGCGCGUAGGCGGCGUGGUAAGUCAGCUGUGAAAUCUCCGAGCUUAACUCGGAACGGUCAGCUGAUACUGCUGUGCUAGAGUACAGAAAGGGCAAUCGGAAUUCUUGGUGUAGCGGUGAAAUGCGUAGAUAUCAAGAGGAACACCUGAGGCGAAGGCGGGUUGCUAGGCUGAUACUGACGCUGAGGCGCGAAAGCGUGGGGAGCGAACAGG